rnacentral:rRNA from 1 species
CCUACGGGUGGCAGCAGUGGGGAAUAUUGCGCAAUGGGCGAAAGCCUGACGCAGCGACGCCGCGUGAGGGAUGAAGGUCUUCGGAUCGUAAACCUCUGUCAGCAGGGAAGAACGGUCACUGUGCUAAUCAGCAGUGAAUUGACGGUACCUGCAAAGGAAGCACCGGCUAACUCCGUGCCAGCAGCCGCGGUAAUACGGAGGGUGCGAGCGUUAAUCGGAAUUACUGGGCGUAAAGCGCUCGUAGGCGGUAUGUCAAGUCAAGGGUGAAAUCCCCGCGCUCAACGUGGGAACUGCCUUUGAUACUGGCAAACUGGAGUGUGUGAGAGGAUAGUGGAAUUCCAGGUGUAGGAGUGAAAUGCGUAGAGAUCAGGAGGAACAUCAGUGGCGAAGGCGACGAUCUGGCACAUAACUGACGCUGAGGAGCGAAAGCGUGGGGAGCAAACAGGAUUAGAUACCCUUGUAGUC